UUUACAAUCGCAACACACUGCUGGUGACAACAAAACCCAAGUUGAUUAUCUAUAUGCCGUAACUUAGAUCAAUUCGUAAUUCCUAUUGCCUAAUUGUAUCGUGAAUUAGAUAAACAGAAAAUUAAUAGUACUUUCUAUAUUGUUAUUAACAGAAAAUUGCAACGUAAUUCAUUCUAGUUAUGAUUUUUCUUCUCUUGUUUUUUCUGCGAAGAACUAGACAUUUGUAGCUUCGGUAUAUAUUUCUUAUUUUGAAACUCGAUUAAAAUAUUCUUCCUCCAAAUACAGUCAACGUUAUUGUGUGAAAAAUUGCAUAACGGAAACACCAGUGUGUGACCGACUCAUAUGGGGAAGGCGACUAUAUUAUAUACCAUAUGUGACACAGGUUCCGGAAGGAAGAAAAAAGGGUUCUGCAGGUAGAUUUUUAAACCCAGUUGAUCCUUUGAAAAUUUAAUCAGUUACCCUUUACGUGUUCACACAUAUAUAUCUUGAUCAAAUUGCGAGAAGUUAAGUUGAAGAUAGGAGUGAUGAUAUCGAAUUUAUUAAGUGCCGUUUCCAAGUACUCGAAAGUGAAGUGCUUGAAUGUUAUAUUGAGCAAUCAUGAGUAAAGAAUAUCGUUCACCAAAACUCCUCCAUGGUAAAUUUUUGUGAGAGGAGAGUGGGAUGGUAGGAUAUUUAGAAGUAGGGCCUGUCUAAUCAGUUCUAAUGCAUACAAAUGGGGAUUUAUUGUGGGAUUAUAAUAUAGAAUUUAGAAAUGUUCAACGUAUAGAAAAAUAAUAAUCGGAUACUGAAAAAAUUGAAUUAUUUCGGAGAAAUAUCCAAACACCUGCCUAGCCAGGAUAACCGGACUAGUAUAUAUCUUGAGGGAUUGAGGGGAUGGAUGGGAGAAGAGAAAAGGACCCAAGAAGGAUCUCUCUCAGGAGCGUUAACAAGCAGGACUGCGGCGACCGUAAAGAAAAGGACUAAAAGGAACUUUCAUUAAUGCAAAGUAGGAUUGAUUUGAGAAGCAGGAUACCUGCGUGGUCCUUUCUUGUCUCCUUAAACCCUUGUUCGUUAAAAUCCGGCUGAUGGCUGCCACCGCUGGACCUUGCGCGCGCAUUUGACCGCUAGGGAUGGACAUUGAUCAAUAAUAUAUAAGAAGAUUGUAAAUUCCCAUACUACCAAAAGGUACACUGAUAUCUCAUCACUCAGCAUCCCAAUUCACCGCCAUUCAGUUAAGCUUUUUAAUGCUGACCAGUCCGGCGCAUGCCUUCAAUAAAGGGGAAUGACCAUUAAGGGUGGUCAGUCAACCAAACCGCUCCCUUACAAAGUUAUCACCCCGAAUGUCGUUUCCUUUGACCAGGACAAUACGU